UACGGAGGGUGCAAGCAUUAAUCGGAUUCACUGGGCGUAAAGGGCGCGUAGGUGGGUAGGAUAGUUAUAUGUGAAAGCCCGGAGCUCAACUCCGGAACAGCAUCUAAUACUUCCUGUCUAGAGGUUUGGCGGAGAAAAUGGAAUUCCACGUGUAGCGGUGAAAUGCGUAGAUAUGUGGAAGAACACCGGUGGCGAAGGCGAUUUUCUAGCUUAUACCUGACACUGAGGCGCGAAAGCAAGGGGAGCAAACAGG
rnacentral:rRNA from 1 species